rnacentral:rRNA from 1 species
UACAGAGGGGGCAAGCGUUGUUCGGAAUUACUGGGCGUAAAGGGCGCGUAGGCGGCCUUCUAAGUCGAACGUGAAAUCCCUGGGCUCAACCCAGGAACUGCGUCCGAUACUGGAAGGCUUGAAUCCGGGAGAGGGAUGCGGAAUUCCAGGUGUAGCGGUGAAAUGCGUAGAUAUCAGGAGGAACACCGGUGGUGUAGACGGCUCACUGGACCGUAACUGACGCUGAGACACGAAAGCGUGGGGAGCAAACAGG